rnacentral:rRNA from 1 species
AUUGAACGCUGGCGGCAGGCCUAACACAUGCAAGUCGAGCGGAUGAGGGAAGCUUGCUUCCCGAUUUAGCGGCGGACGGGUGAGUAAUGCCUAGGAAUCUGCCUGUUAGUGGGGGAUAACUCGGGGAAACUCGGGCUAAUACCGCAUACGUCCUACGGGAGAAAGUGGGGGAUCUUCGGACCUCGCGCUAACAGAUGAGCCUAGGUCGGAUUAGCUAGUAGGUGAGGUAAUGGCUCACCUAGGCGACGAUCCGUAACUGGUCUGAGAGGAUGAUCAGUCACACUGGAACUGAGACACGGUCCAGACUCCUACGGGAGGCAGCAGUGGGGAAUAUUGGACAAUGGGCGAAAGCCUGAUCCAGCCAUGCCGCGUGUGUGAAGAAGGUCUUCGGAUUGUAAAGCACUUUAAGUUGGGAGGAAGGGUAUUCACCUAAUACGUGGGUACUUUGACGUUACCAACAGAAUAAGCACCGGCUAACUCUGUGCCAGCCGCCGCAGUAAAAC